AACAUAAGCAAUGCUCCAGCUCAUGGCUGGGGCUGCUCAAGGCCUCCCAGUCUUUGCCUUAAUUCUCCUUUCCUGGUUUCUGCACCGCCCCAGCUGCCCUCUGGAUCCAGGACCGUGGAGAUAAGGCACAGGGGGUGACAACAGCGAUUCCCAGGCCUUUCCAAAGGGCAGGACCGACUACAGUGUGUCUCUUGGAGAAGCUGAGUCUGGCAUAAUGCACUAUGGCAUGGGCUGAGCAAGGUCCCAGCUCCUGAAGAUCACUGGGGGAGCAGGGCUGGGAACUGAGGACACCAAGCCCCACAUGGGUUUUUUUUCCCCCUAAUUACUAUUGAGAAAAUUAAAACAAAAAUGGCCAGUACAGGAAGAACAGUCCUCAAUAACAGGCUCACGAUCGGUCUGCAGGUGCUGAUGAGCCACUCGUGUCCGCCGGCACGGCAGCCCCGAUGGGCCGACGUGCUACGGACUUGCUGGAGGGAGGAAACGAGCCCGGGAGCUCCUCGAGGCAGGACCGCCGCCCUCCGGCCCUCCGAAACGAUGCCGGUCGGCUCCCACGAGGGAAAACUCCCCCACCCCCCCCAAAAAAAACCCCAAGACUGGGAUAAACUCAGCAUCAAACCGAAGCGUAAACCCUGUUCUGAACCCAGGGUCCAUGUGACUGUCUGCUAAUCACAGACGAGCUAAACAGGCAGAUGAUGCCCUCCACGGCUGAGCUGGCUGCUGAAGCCCUCCUUCCUCCGAGCCUCCCCUGCGCGGCCCGUCCCCGCCGCGAAACGCCAACGCUCGCUUCGGCUCCGCGUUGCACAAGCAGCUCAAGGAACCGUGUUGUCCAAAUUACCAGCAGCGAGUGGAAAUACUAACGCUUGUCUGGAGGAAAGGGAAGAUGUGUGAAUAAUUGCAAUUGUAAUUCUGCCCUCGCCAAGUGAGCACACAGAAGACUUCUCCUGCUUUCCUAGCCUGGUGGGCCUGGGGCCCCGCUCUGCACGCCAAGAACUUGUUUGAUGGGUCUCCGCUCAGGAAAAAUGAAAGGUAUAAGAAAGCCCUUCCAAAAAGGAAGGGAAUGGUAUCAUCAUCAGCAGACAAACACCCCUGGAGGGUUGUUAUAAGAAGCAAAGCUGGAAAAAAGGAAGAGGAGGUCUCAAAACGUGCACCUGCAGGACCUGCUGCCCGUGAGCGUGCAUCGCGCUCCUCGCGUGCUCGCGCCGUGUGCGGCACGGCCGGCACGUGUUACCGGGCAGCUGCACGUGCGAACCUCGCAGAUGCAGAAAGAUUUCUUUAGGACACUUCUCUUUUAACGUUGUUUGCAUUUAGAGAGAAAAACUGAGACGGGUAGAUGGCUUUCACCUUUAAAGGGCGCUGGUGGGGAAUCCGCAGGGGCCCUUAUCUGGGACCCGCCGGCGGCAGGACCGCUCGCGGCUCCUGUCCCACCGAGGGAGGCAGGAGCUGGACCCGGUCGCCCUCUCCCGG
rnacentral:lncRNA from 1 species